rnacentral:rRNA from 1 species
GUGAGGAAUAUUGGACAAUGGAUGGAAAUCUGAUCCAGCCAUGCCGCGUGCAGGAAGACGGCCCUAUGGGUUGUAAACUGCUUUUAUACGGGAGCAAUAAGGUCUAUGCAUAGAUUGAUGAGAGUACCGUAUGAAUAAGCAUCGGCUAACUCCGUGCCAGCAGCCGCGGUAAUACGGAGGAUGCGAGCGUUAUCCGGAUUUAUUGGGUUUAAAGGGUGCGUAGGCGGCUUUGUAAGUCAGCGGUGAAAUUUUGCAGCUUAACUGUAAAAGCGCCGUUGAUACUGUGAAGCUAGUAUUUGGUUGCUGUGGGCGGAAUGUGUGGUGUAGCGGUGAAAUGCAUAGAGAUCACACAGAAUAUCGAUUGCGAAGGCAGCUCACAAAGCCAAUAUUGACGCUGAGGCACGAAAGUGUGGGGAUCAAACAGGAUUAGAAACCCCAGUAGUCC